rnacentral:lncRNA from 1 species
GAUCCGCUCUCGUGUGUACCUGUACCCCAAAAUCACACGGGGUGAGAACUAUAUAAAUAUAGUUCCCAGUGGGUUCGGCCGCCGACUCCGCCGAUCUUCCCACUAGGUCCAAGCUGGCACAGAUAGAUAGAUAGAAAGAUAUAUGGAAAUACUACUACUAUAUCUACUAUGCCAUCAAAUGCAAAGUAUGCAUGGAACAUCAUCUAGCAACAAUCUACUAUCAUGCUAAUAUGCCUCAACAGUGAAAUAAAUACAACAACAACAUAGUUAUGCAAUGCACUAUGUCUAAUCAAGGUAUGAAUGCAAUACUCUUAUGCUAUUCAUGUUAUUACCCAAUCCGCUAGGCUAACUUGCCUAAGAUCUCAAAUCUAGUAGGUGAAGAGCUACCUCACUCUUGUCUCACUCGACUCAUAUCUCAAAGGUCUGACCCAAUCUCGUGAGUCCCAGGCAAAGAGCUACCCCGCCCCUCGCCCGACUCACAUCUCAAGGUCCUAGGCAAAGGCUACCCCGCACUUUGCACGACUCACAUCUCGACCUACUAGGUACAGAGCUACUCCACUCAAAUCUCAUAGGUGAACAACAACAACAACUAUGGAAGCAAGCUAUCAUGAACAACAAUAAUGAGUAUGACUCAAUAGGUACUCAAAUCUCAUAGGUGAAGGAAUAGUAUAUCAUGAAGGCAUGAGCAAUAAGUAAGCUACUAUGAACACUAGUAAGCUACUAUGAACAACAACAACAACUAUGGAAGCAAGCUAUCAUGAACAACAAUAAUGAGUAUGACUCAAUAGGUAACCAAAUCUCGUGGUGAACACAAGAUUCACAAGCAAGGCUCACAUAUCAAUCUCCGAGGGAUGCCUAGCUGGACUAUCCCCGAGUACGCCUGCGGAUAACAAGCGGCUAUCCGAGCAGCAAGCAGGGCUGCCUCUCUAGUGACCAAUCUCCGGAGCGCACAACCUGGGGGGAGCGACCCCACUAAGCGCAGACAGGCAAUGUGAGCAAGAUCAUCUCACGAGCAACAACAACAACCUUUUGAGGGUAAUAUCAUCAUGGAAGCAAGGUAUACAUGUACCCAAUCUCAUA